rnacentral:misc_RNA from 1 species
GUGAAUCAUCAAAUCUUUGAACGCAAAUUGCACUCUCUUCGGAGAGUAUGCCUGUUUGAGGGUCAGUAUUAAUAAAAAUCGGUGUGUUGCUCCUUUGUGACGCUCCGGAGUUUGGGUCAUCUUAAUAUCCUUUAGGUUUUAAGAGGCUUAAAAUUGACUUUUUUUGCGCAUUUUAGAUGUACAUAAAUUUUUUUUUUUUCGUCUUUUCUUAAUUCCCAAAUCUUAUUAGAUUCGAUC